rnacentral:rRNA from 1 species
UACAGAGGUCUCAAGCGUUGUUCGGAUUUACUGGGCGUAAAGGGCGCGUAGGCGGCCACCGCAAGUCAGUUGUGAAAUCUCUGGGCUUAACCCAGAAAGGUCAACUGAUACUGCGGGGCUAGAGUGCAGAAGGGGCAACUGGAAUUCUCGGUGUAGCGGUGAAAUGCGUAGAUAUCGAGAGGAACACCUGCGGCGAAGGCGGGUUGCUGGGCUGACACUGACGCUGAUGCGCGAAAGCUAGGGGAGCGAACGGG